UCAAACUUGGUCAUUUAGAGGAAGUAAAAGUCGUAACAAGGUUUCCGUAGGUGAACCUGCGGAAGGAUCAUUACAGGUCAAGCUGGGAUUUGUUUCUAUUCAUUGGGGUAGAACUUAUCUCGGUAGAUAUGAUCAUCCUUUUGUGCACGAAUUGAUACUUUACGGGCUUUGGCAGAUGUAAAAGUCUGUCAGAGUUUUGUUAGCAAUAAACUUUUAGUCUGAAUUUUUGACUGAAUUUUAUUUAUGAGCAAUAAAUACAACUUUCAACAACGGAUCUCUUGGCUCUCGCAUCGAUGAAGAACGCAGC
rnacentral:misc_RNA from 1 species